rnacentral:rRNA from 1 species
UACGUAGGCAGCGAUGCGUUGUUCGGAAUUACUUGGGCGUAAAGAGUGUGUAGGCGGUGCUCUAAGUUCGGUGUGAAAUCUCCUGGACUCGAACUGGGAGGGUGCGUCCGGAAACUGGAGUGCUUGAGCGUGGGAGAGGAAAGCGGAAUUCCUGGUGUAGCGGUGAAAUGCGUAGAUAUCAGGAGGAACACCUGUGGUGUAGACGGCUUUCUGGACCAUAGCUGACGCUGAGACACGAAAGCGUGGGUAGCAAACAGG